CGACCCCAUGGACUGCAGCCUACCAGGCUCCUCCAUCCAUGGGAUUUUCCAGGUCACAUGACGGCUGCUGCGGUUCUACGUAUCAGAGCAUUCCAUGUCCACAUUCAAGGUGGAAAGAGUGAAUGAGCUGUACCAGAGAGUACUCUGCAUAUCUGUCCUGUUGUAAGGAAGGAAGAUCCUUUCCAGAAGUUCCCAGCAGACUUCCUCUUCCAUCCAGCUGACUGGAGCAGUGUCACGUGGACACGUGAAGCUGUAGGAGAGACGAAGAAUGUUGGCAAUCUCCCAUGGGACCUGCCAGGACACCAUCCUCGCUUGGGACCCUGGAAAUACGGAAGAAGCCAGAGAGGGUAAAGAUUCUUACCACAGUCCUCUCUCCCGGAUUUCACUCUGGUGGCAGCUGAGAGACAAAGCAUCUCAGAACUGGCUUGCUUUGGUCUUCAGCUGGAGGUGGUGAUGGCCUGCGCCAUUUGGUUGGCCGAGGUGACUUGCUGACAGUCCUGUUUCGAGAUUCCAGUCGAGCUCUGCUGACUCAUCACCCAGCCCUAAGUCCCCCAUAAAUAGCCUGUUGCGGCCACUCAGGUGACAACUCACCGCCAUGGGGAGACACAACUAUAUCAACUGAUGCACCAGGGUCACAACUGCUGUUGCUGGGCUUGACUCUGUACUUUUCUGGAGCAGUUGUUCUCACCUGUUUAUAAAGACAGUAGUCACAGUAACUUUCAUGCUCUUUGGGGGGAAAUGGUUUAAAAAUGACUUUAAAAAACCAGUUAAUAAAGUCUAUAAAACCA